rnacentral:rRNA from 1 species
GAUGAACGCUAGCGGCAGGCUUAAUACAUGCAAGUCGAGGGGCAGCAUGAGUAGCAAUACUUGAUGGCGACCGGCAAACGGGUGCGGAACACGUACACAACCUUCCUUUCAGCGGGGAAUAGCCCAGAGAAAUUUGGAUUAAUACCCCAUAGAAUAUUGAAGAGGCAUCUCUUUAUUAUUAAAGAUUUAUCACUGAAAGAUGGGUGUGCAGCUGAUUAGAUAGUUGGCGGGGUAACGGCCCACCAAGUCUACGAUCAGUAGCUGAUGUGGGAGCAUGAUCAGCCACACGGGCACUGAGACACGGGCCCGACUCCUACGGGAGGCAGCAGUAAGGAAUAUUGGUCAAUGGACGAAAGUCUGAACCAGCCAUGCCGCGUGAAGGAUGAAGGUCCUCUGGAUUGUAAACUUCUUUUAUAUGGGACGAAAAAAGGUCAUUCUUGAUCACUUGACGGUACCAUUUGAAUAAGCACCGGCUAACUCCGUGCCAGCCGCCGCCGUAAAAC